rnacentral:rRNA from 1 species
AACGAACGCUGGCGGCAUGCCUAACACAUGCAAGUCGAACGACACCUUCGGGUCUAGUGGCGCACGGGUUCGUAACGCGUGGGAACCUGCCCUUAGGUUCGGAAUCACUCCCCGAAAGGGGUGCUAAUACCGGAUAAUGUCUUCGGACCAAAGAUUUAUCGCCUUUGGAUGGGCCCGCGUUGGAUUAGCUAGUUGGUAGGGUAAAAGCCUACCAAGGCGACGAUCCAUAGCUGGUCUGAGAGGAUAAUCAGCCACACUGGGACUGAGACACGGCCCAGACUCCUACGGGAGGCAGCAGUGGGGAAUAUUGGACAAUGGGCGAAAGCCUGAUCCAGCAAUGCCGCGUGAGUGAUGAAGGCCUUAGGGUUGUAAAGCUCUUUUACCCGGGAUGAUAACGACAGUACCGGGAGAAUAAGCUCCGGCUAACUCCGUG